rnacentral:lncRNA from 1 species
GGGUUCCGCUGAUCAGAAGCGGACAAGCAAACAGCGGAUGUGCAGUUCCUCUCUUCGCCGAACCCGGUUUUCCCUUUCGGAGCAGCGCGACCGAUUUCCGGUUUCCCCGCCGCAACCACCGUUACCCCCCCCCCGCCCCAAUCCCCGGCGACUCCAGCGACGUCACCGGUUCAGCUCCUGACCUUUCGGCGAACCGCAGAACCACAGGCGACCCGUUCGACGUCAUCACUCCCCGCCCAGAUGUCGCUGUGACAUCACCCCGCACGUGCCUGCGCUGGCACCGCGUCGUCCUGGCGAGCGCCUCCUCGCGGCGGAAGGAGAUCCUGGGGUUCGCUGUGCGAGACAUGUCGGCGGGGUUUCACGUGAGUGACACUUGGUCCCCACGGGAUUGACAGCGACUAGCGGAGUGGCAUGUGGACGUAGCUUCAGGCCUUGGAGGGGCUGAUCCUGGAGAAGUCAAAGGACCAGGAGGACGCCAUGGGGGGUGCUGUACAGGCUGAGCAGGAAGCAGAGCAGCACAGCGUCAUCAUGAGGGUAGCCAUCUUCACCUGGGGCAUCCACGGAGGAGGAGCUGAUCCACGACUACUUGGACAACAGCACACCAGCGAAGGAUGGUGAGGCCCUGCCCCCUGCCUGCACAUGACACUGCCCACGCCCUGUCUGAGACUCUACCAAGUGGUUCUGGGAUAAUAGAUUGAGGGGAUGGGGGCUGCAUACAUUUGCAUGAUUUUGCAUAUUUUGGGCUCAUUUGAAUAAAUUUGUAUAAGUUAACACCAGUUCUCUCAGGACAAAUUUGCAUAGAUUUGUGUGUGACGUCUUGGGCAAAUUAGCAUAAACCAAAAUGAUGUCA